CAGCCGCCACGGUAAUACGAAGGGUGCAAGCGUUACUCGGAAUUACUGGGCGUAAAGCGUGCGUAGGCGGCUAAUUGAGUCGGAUGUGAAAUCCCCGAGCUUAACUUGGGAAUUGCAUUCGAUACUGGUUAGCUAGAGUGUGGGAGAGGAUGGUAGAAUUCCAGGUGUAGCGGUGAAAUGCGUAGAGAUCUGGAGGAAUACCGAUGGCGAAGGCAGCCAUCUGGCCUAACACUGACGCUGAGGUACGAAAGCAUGGGGAGCAAACAGGAUUAGAUACCCCGGUAGUCCCUGUCUCUUAUAC
rnacentral:rRNA from 1 species